AUUUCAGUUGCUAUAAACAAACCUGCAGGAAGCCAAACUGUGAGGAACACCGUGUUUCUUCAUCCGACUCUUCACCUCUGUCAUGGCGGGCUCGGAUUUAGGUCGAGCGGAAGUAGGAGCAGAAGAAGCAGACCCUUAUGAGAGGACGAUGAAGUACCUGGAGAGCCAUAACAUUCUGCAGAUAUUUCAGGAAAUCACAGCGCGGCUGGUUUAUGACAGACCUGAUGACCCCCUGCGGUUUAUGGUAGAACAGUUGCAGAAGAUGAUCGAGGCACGUGAGGAGUGGAACAAAGCCGCAUAGCUUUCUCACAAAUGGGAACGUACUGCAUACAAUGAAAAGUAUGUUCACCACACAGAUUUGCAUUCUGCCAUUAUUUUCCUGGGAUGCAGCAAUAAAUGCAAAAAACGAAGAAAAAAAACCCUGAUUUAUAUACCGGUUUUGUUUUGGCAGUCCUGUUUGGUUUCUUUUGAUGAGCUAUUAUUUGUAUUGGCAUCAAAGAGAUGUCGUUUAAUAACUCGGUGACGAACGAUCGGCAGAGGAGAACUUUCUGAAAGGGGAAAAUCAUUAAUUUUUUUUAAAAAAGGGGGGAAAAAGCACCUUUAAUGCUUUAUGAAAGCAGGAUCGUUAAAUUGUAAGUAAUAAAUAAGUCCUGCAGGUGAUGAGGAAAAAAAAUCUGGCUUUAACUUUGCAAUAAAAACAAACACUGGCGCACACACUGUACUCAGAUUUGCAUGAGGGUUUUUUUGGCUGUACGAGUAAAGGAAGUCUUUGUUUGUAGUAGGUUUACCUUUCAGUGUAUCGCUCUGGUCAUCAUCCUGCGCUUUGAAGCCGCAU